rnacentral:lncRNA from 1 species
CACACCCGGCCAGAAGACUAAUAAGUUUAAGCCUAAAAAAAUGUAAGCCUCAGGAGACCUCAUUGGUACCAACCAGAAAUACAGAUCCUGAGCUGUGCUGCUGGAAUGGGCUCUGAUGGAAACCUGGCUGGUGGUGGAUGGGUCCCUCAUGAGCAUGGAGAAGGCAAUGAAGCAACUGGAAGUGCAGAGAACUGAGAAGGAGCGAGCUUUUGCCUGCAGAUUUCGAUGGGCAUUUUUGACUGUGCUACAAGAAGUACACACCCAGUUCCUGAAGGAUGCAGUGCAGAUGAGGAAGUAGAGGUGCAGAGACCAGGGAAAAAGGUCAAGAUCUCAAUGCUAACAGAUCAUGGGUGAGGCUGUGAAAACAGAGAAACCAUGUGUUAUGUGACAGGAUGCUCCUCUGAAGACUGACGAUGUUACUUGGGAUUUAAGCUGCCAAUUAUAGAACUGCUGCUACCUGGAGACUGACCAAAAUAGAGAAUUUGAACUCCAGAGCCCCCACCUCUGACCAGGAGGCCUCCCAACAGAGAGCUCUAAUAAA